rnacentral:rRNA from 1 species
UACGGAGGAUGCGAGCGUUAUCCGGAUUUAUUGGGUUUAAAGGGUGCGUAGGCGGAUCGUUAAGUCAGUGGUCAAAUUGAAGGGCUCAACCCCUUCCCGCCAUUGAAACUGGCGAUCUUGAGUGGAAGAGAAGUAUGCGGAAUGCGUGGUGUAGCGGUGAAAUGCAUAGAUAUCACGCAGAACCCCGAUUGCGAAGGCAGCAUGCCGGCUUCCGACUGACGCUGAAGCACGAAAGCGUGGGGAUCGAACAGG